UUCUAGCCCUGAUGGGAGUGGCAUCCCGUCUCGUUUUUUCAACGAGGCGGAUAAAGCGGACAGCAGGAACAGGG
rnacentral:sRNA from 1 species